CCGACUUCUUUUUCUCACAGGGCUUAUAUUCAUUGGCUCUACUCUUAAAAAAAUUAGAUGGAAUUUUGGCAUCUUUUUCGACUGUAAAUGGUGGAUGACCCCUUGUAAUAUGAUUUAACACAGCAGUGAUGACCUGUUUUCCUGUCCAAAGAGGCUCUGGUUUCCAUAUUGCUGGCAGAACGGUGUCAAUCUCACCUUCAGAUUGUGACCACAAAACUUUAUGCCCAGGUCUACCAUGGAAAGAACUUGGCACAGAAGUGGACACCCC
rnacentral:misc_RNA from 1 species